AGAGUUUGAUCAUGGCUCAGAUUGAACGCUGGCGGCAUGCCUUACACAUGCAAGUCGAACGGCAGCACGGGGGCGAACCCUGGUGGCGAGUGGCGGACGGGUGAGUAAAGCAUCGGAACGUAUCCUGGAGGUGGGGGAUAACGUAGCGAAAGUUACGCUAAUACCGCAUAUUCUGUGAGCAGGAAAGCAGGGGAUCGCAAGACCUUGCGCUCUGGGAGCGGCCGAUGUCGGAUUAGCUAGUUGGUGGGGUAAAGGCCUACCAAGGCGACGAUCCGUAGCGGGUCUGAGAGGAUGAUCCGCCACACUGGGACUGAGACACGGCCCAGACUCCUACGGGAGGCAGCAGUGGGGAAUUUUGGACAAUGGGCGCAAGCCUGAUCCAGCCAUGCCGCGUGAGUGAAGAAGGCCUUCGGGUUGUAAAGCUCUUUCGGCGGGGAAGAAAUUGCACGGGUUAAUACCCUGUGUAGAUGACGGUACCCGAAUAAGAAGCACCGGCUAACUACGUG
rnacentral:rRNA from 1 species